rnacentral:rRNA from 1 species
UACGUAGGGUGCAAGCGUUAAUCGGAAUUACUGGGCGUAAAGCGUGCGCAGGCGGUGAUGUAAGGCAGGGGUGAAAUCCCCGGGCUCAACCUGGGAACUGCAUCUGUGACUGCAUUGCUGGAGUGCGGCAGAGGGGGAUGGAAUUCCGCGUGUAGCAGUGAAAUGCGUAGAGAUGUGGAGGAAUACCGAUGGCGAAGGCAGCCCCCUGGGUCAAUACUGACGCUCAUGCACGAAAGCGUGGGGAGCAAACAGG